rnacentral:rRNA from 1 species
CGGGCGACGGUUGUCCCGGUUUAAGCGUGUAGGUGUGUGUUCCAGGUAAAUCCGGUUCACUUUAACACUGAGGCGUGACGACGAGGCACUACGGUGCUGAAGCAACAAAUGCCCUGCUUCCAGGAAAAGCCUCUAAGCAUCAGGUAACAYSAAAUCGUACCCCAAACCGACACAGGUGGUCAGGUAGAGAAUACCAAGGCGCUUGAGAGAACUCGGGUGAAGGAACUAGGCAAAAUGGUGCCGUAACUUCGGGAGAAGGCACGCUGACACGUAGGUGAAGUGAUUUACUCAYGGAGCUGAAGUCAGUCGAAGAUACCAGCUGGCUGCAACUGUUUAUUAAAAACACAGCACUGUGCAAACACGAAAGUGGACGUAUACGGUGUGACGCCUGCCCGGUGCCGGAAGGUUAAUUGAUGGGGUCAGCGCAAGCGAAGCUCCUGAUCGAAGCCCCGGUAAACGGCGGCCGUAACUAUAACGGUCCUAAGGUAGCGAAAUUCCUUGUCGGGUAAGUUCCGACCUGCACGAAUGGCGUAAUGAUGGCCAGGCUGUCUCCACCCGAGACUCAGUGAAAUUGAACUCGCUGUGAAGAUGCAGUGUACCCGCGGCAAGACGGAAAGACCCCGUGAACCUUUACUAUAGCUUGACACUGAACAUUGAGCCUUGAUGUGUAGGAUAGGUGGGAGGCUUUGAAGUGUGGACGCCAGUCUGCAUGGAGCCGACCUUGAAAUACCACCCUUUAAUGUUUGAUGUUCUAACGUGGACCCGUAAUCCGGGUUGCGGACAGUGUCUGGUGGGUAGUUUGACUGGGGCGGUCUCCUCCUAAAGAGUAACGGAGGAGCACGAAGGUUGGCUAAUCCUGGUCGGACAUCAGGAGGUUAGUGCAAUGGCAUAAGCCAGCUUGACUGCGAGCGUGACGGCGCGAGCAGGUGCGAAAGCAGGUCAUAGUGAUCCGGUGGUUCUGAAUGGAAGGGCCAUCGCUCAACGGAUAAAAGGUACUCCGGGGAUAACAGGCUGAUACCGCCCAAGAGUUCAUAUCGACGGCGGUGUUUGGCACCUCGAUGUCGGCUCAUCACAUCCUGGGGCUGAAGUAGGUCCCAAGGGUAUGGCUGUUCGCCAUUUAAAGUGGUACGCGAGCUGGGUUUAGAACGUCGUGAGACAGUUCGGUCCCUAUCUGCCGUGGGCGCUGGAGAACUGAGGGGGGCUGCUCCUAGUACGAGAGGACCGGAGUGGACGCAUCACUGGUGUUCGGGUUGUCAUGCCAAUGGCACUGCCCGGUAGCUAAAUGCGGAAGAGAUAAGUGCUGAAAGCAUCUAAGCACGAAACUUGCCCCGAGAUGAGUUCUCCCUGAGACUUAGAGUCUCCUGAAGGAACGUUGAAGACGACGACGUUGAUAGGCCGGGUGUGUAAGCGCAGCGAUGCGUUGAGCUAACCGGUACUAAUGAACCGUGAGGCUUAACCUUACAACGCCGAAG